ensembl:ncRNA F15A8.13 ncRNA
AGCGCAUCUAUAAGAUGUUGAAUGAAGAAGAGGACAUGGAGGGCUCAGAGUAAAAGUAGAGGAAACAGCGAGGGCAGCCACAAAAAACACGUAGUUGUCGUACGUAUGAAGAAUUGGAUGAGAAAAAAACG